ACGAUGUCAAGCAAAAAUCAUACAUUCGAUUGUUGAACCUCAGCAUGAGCUUUAAUGGGAAAUUCAGAAGUAAGUGAGUCGUCUGAUUGAAUCGAUCGCAAUAAACCUCAGUGACAAAUCAAACAUUACGACACGAGAAUAGAAGGGAAGACGACGGAAUGUGGAGCAUAAAAAAAAAACAGAAUAAUUAUUGGUGAUGCAAGUAAACAUAAUCUCUGAUUAGAAAAUAUGAAUGAGGAUUAAGACGAUUUAAUUUUCGAUACUUAUUAAUGGUCUGAAUACUCGUAAUACUCACGAUUUUUGAUAUUUAAUACACAGAAAAAAAGUAUUUCUUGGCGCAAAAAAAAUUUUUAUUAUGAAAUGAAAAGAAAAAUUUUUCUUGGCUCAAGAAAUUUUUGUUUUAAUUCACAAUGAGAUAAAUUACUCAGGGCAAGCAAAAGUUUUUCUUGGGGCGAGUAAAAAUUUUUGCAAUCCAAGAAAACCACCGAUUUUUAAAUGAAAAGUCUUUAUUUGAAUACAAAAAAAUUUCAUAUUGAUACUAGGGUAAUGCCGAUAAUUGCAGCGGCUUUUGCAUUACUGGCAGUUUGUGUAGUAGUUGGUGUCAAAUGGAAAACGAAACAAUUGAGAGAUCGGCAGCAACGACCGAUGAAAGAGCCCGAGUCGAAAUAUUGAACUUACGUUAACUUAUAGAACUUACAUAAGCUUAAUGAACUUACAUCUAACUUAAAAAACUUAUUAGGCUUGUGUCCAAUUACAAUAUUGUACCUACACAGAAAAAAAGUUAUCUUGAGUCAAGAAAAUAUUUUUGAAGACAAACGUAUUCUAGAGCCAAGAGAAUUUUUUUUUGCUCAGAGGAGAUAUCUUCUUUAUCACAGAAUUGAGGUUUUAAAAAAAAAUUUCUUGAAUCAAGAAUAUUUACCUGCAGUCGAUAAUUUUUUUCUGCAUAUGGUAACAAGACCAAUAUCAGUAUGGCCACCAAUCGCGAAGAAAGAAUUACUUUACAAAAAUGAGAAACUCAAAUUUUGUUAAAUUUAUAUUUGUAGUUAAACAUGAUCUUCUUUUUUAGGUUAGAAUAUUUAUAAACAGCUGCUGUUUAACAGCAUUUUGAAUUUUUCUAUAACAAUGAGGCUUAUAGUGAACUGUCUCGGUUUUUAUAUUUAUCAGUAUCAAUUUUUAUUUCAGAUUAAAUAUUUCAUUUUUUUUUAAGCACAGUAAUAUAACAUUAGAAUUCGAAAAGUAGAAAGACAAGUAAAUUUGUAAAACCGGUAAACCGUUCACACAAAAUAAGCUGCUAGCUGUGCCAUUUUAUCUCUCGGCGGUCUAGAUUUGCCUCUGCCACGGUUUUUAGUGGAAUGACCACGUGAUCGUGUUAUGACAGGUUUCGAUGCAACAGCUCGAUGUUUUUCAAUCAAUUGUGUAAAAACUGGAGUACAAAAUACACAUCCUGUCAUUUCUGUAGCAUCGUUAGGUAAUUUACUUUUAUCUGAUUUAUAUUCGACUGCUAUUAGUUGGGCUCCACAUUCACAACAAACGCCAGGGUCUACAGUUACUUUGUGAGCAUUCUCAAAAAAAUGGAUAAUAACAUCACAGCGAUUGCAUCCCAAUUUCCAUUUGGGCGCCGACGAAGGGUCCAGCACUAAUAUACCAUGAUCACAUUCCAAACAACUAGACACCCCAUUAGAAUUCAAUCCAUGUGGACAAGUGGGAUGAGUACAAGAAUUACAUCCUAAAUUACCUUUCUUCAUAUCUCGAAAUGGUGGAUUAUUAUAACAAUAAGGACAGAAUGUAAAACUCUUGCCUCGUGUACCCGUUGACCAUGAUAGCAACUCAAAGUCAUCUAAUGGGCAUUUCAAUUCUUUGUAGAUACGAAUAUUACCAUUUUGCGGCAAAUUAUAAGUUUCGUUACAGUUAGCACAGUGUAAUCGUGAUGGCUUUGUUUGAAUGUAUUUCAUAUAACGCCGACAUUUACCGCACCGAGAUAAUGCUUUCCCUGUUGCUGAUAAAGGAGAGAAUGAUACUUCAAAUAAUUGAUCCAUACCCUCAAUGUUUGAUACGAAGUAAUGGAAUUUUUGUUUGAAUAUUUCUACGGUAUGAUCCAGGACUGCGUUGUAAUUUGCCUGUCCUACAGCUAUCAGAUUAAGUUGUUCUUCAACUGCUGAUCUCAUGGUUGGUAGAACCAGCUCUGGAUCAAUCUAAAAAUAUUAUUCUCAUUAUUGAACUUGCAUAACAGUUUGAAUUAUACCGGCACACAAAAAAAAAAUUGUGUGUACACCGGGCGCCACCUAUCUACGGGCAUGUUUUUCGACCCGCUGAAUACAAAUUUGUUUAAUUGUGUUUAAAAGAUUUUUUUCCAUUUUUUCAGCAGCAAUUUUCUGCUAUUUUAUCGGUUUUUUGCAGUUUUAUGAAUGUUUGAGGGGACUAUAGGCCAAAUUUAUUGCAGAAUCAGAUCAAGCAGAUUAAAUUACAUGAAAAUCUUCGUCAAUCCGGGUCCACAAAAUUUUUUGUACCAAGAUAAUCCCAAUUUUCUUCGAUUUUUACAAUUUUUUAUGAUUUUUUACAAUUUUCUUAGAUUUAAAACGGUUUAUGAUUAACGUACAAUCGAAAUUAGUAUUUAACAGAUCAAAAUACAUGAAAAUUAUGCUUGCUUUAGAUCUCAAAAUUUUUUUUCUUGCCAAAACAUCGAAUUUUCGCUAUAUUUUGGGGUUUUUUGCAAUUUACUCGAAAUUGAAGGCUGGACGGCCUAAACUGACUUGAAAUUCGUAUUCAGUGGGUCGAAAAACAUGCCCGUAAAUAGGUGGCGCCCAGUGUACAGACAAUUUUUUUUUUGUGUGCCGGUGUUAUUAGUUAAAUAUAAAACGAUCGACUUAUGAAUGGCUGAUAGUUUGGAGAAAAAUAAUUUUACAGAGCAAAAUUUUCUAUAGAAUUUCUUAGGCGGGACCCUGGUCAAAAUUAAGGUAUCCGUGGGAUGUUUGGAGGCCUCGGAGGUAUCAGGAAAGUCUUCAGGAAGAACGCUAGUGCAUAGAAGCGAAUGGAACAUACAUUUUACUGAACAAAACUAAUUUUUUCCGACGAUUUCUUUGGAACGAAUCAACUGAUACGAGCGUUCUUGGUGGCAAUCAAAAGAGCUUACUAAGACUUAGAACCGAUUUAAUUUCGAGGUGAAUCGAGCGAGUGCUUUAAGAGUUAUACGAAAAAAACCUAAAUGUAAAUACCUUCUGGUAUCCAUGAACAAGGACGAUUCCAAGAGAUGUUGGAGCAAGUUUUCUGCCUGUGAUAACCGUCACGUAAUUUCUUGUGCAAAUGUUAUUGAUGUGGACUGGAAUUGAUGCAUCAGUACCAAUACCAUGCUUUUCCAUUAAGGUGAUCAAUUCUGAUUCCGUUAAAUAAUCUGGUGGUUGUGUAAAACAUUCUACUAAUUUAACAUCACUGAUAUUAUAUUUAUCACCACGAUAGAAUUGUGGUAGGUUACUUUUGUCAUUUAUCGAUUGCCAUGUUAGUAAACUUGUGUAGCCAGGAUCGAUUAUCGUUCGGCCGACGAUUGAAAAUGAUUCUAUUCCAAUUUUAAAUUUAACAGUUGUACUUAAAUAUUUGCAAUCGGGCGCAACCUACAAAAGAAAAUAAUCGUUUAUUAAUCACAAUUAAUUUUUUUUGUCAUCAUAAUUAUUACCGUUGCAAUAAAAUGUCGAGUGAUAUAAUCAUAGACCCUCCAAUUAUCUCCAUCUAAAUCAUUCCUUGUAGCAGAUUUCAUUGGCGUGAUUGGGGGAUGAUCACCAGCAUCAUGACCUUUUCUCGGGUGGUUUAUUCCAGUUUCUAAUAUUUUUCUUACAUCUUCACCCCAAUCGGGAGAGUUCCGUUGCUGCUUUAAUGUUGCU